GGAUCUUGUUUGUGUGUAGUUGCGUUCUGCAUUGCAUAUAGCGUCACGGUCGGUUGUAGUUCAUCUAAUAAAAUGAUGUACGCUUACCACGCUGCACCUUGGUCUAAUUCUUUCAUCAACGAACGUGACAAGUUUACAGGUUCACAGGAGCUAUGUUACCGUGUGCUGUCUAUCCGAGACUGCUAAAUAAUUAGCCAUGGCAGUUUCUAAUGAUUCCUCUUUUCAAGAAGGGCUGGAUGAUGAAACAGGACUCUGGAGGUUAAAUAACAAACAAUCCAACAGCAGUGUAUCCCUCAAGCCAUCUGGGGCAUGAACAUCCUGUGCCCGUGUGAUCCGAGAGCAAACGUCCAGUUGUGGAGACUAAAGCACAUCGAUAUUUUGAACAUCGCAGAAAUGAUUUCCCACCGUGCCCAUGAUGAAGUUAACUACAUUACUUUAGUUGGCUUCUUGGAGCAUAACUUGUACUCACACGAGGAGCAAUAUGAGUCCACACAAUGAAGUAGCACCUGUCCCUUCCAGUGAUGCGGAGUUGACCUUGGACCUGGUGGCAGUAAGGAUGGUCUUCAUGGAGACGACAACAACUGAUCGGAGGACCCCUUUUUAGCAGCGACAGAGUAACGCGCUUGGCCCUAACCACUGCUCCAUAAUUGCUGGCCAUCAACCUCCCUCUCAUAUUGUGCCAGUUGGGUUUGAUGCGCUGUCCAACUUGCCUGCCGUAUAGCCUCCUGCUGCUCCACCGACAGCAAACAAGCCAGGCAGGAUGUCUGCAUGCCCCAGGUGCGCUUGUUUUUAACCAUGCCGGUACAGACAGGGAUGACAGGGAGGGUAGUGGUUGUUCUGGCACAGAUUCAAGGAGACAUGCCAUUCCACUGAACGGAGAUAGAGGGUUGUAGUCUUCAGCCAAAUAUAGGUCCUCCAUUGACUGCACCUGGUUGGGCCACGGCUGGCUUCCUCCAAUCACAUUCCACAUCCGUAUGGACGAUAUUGUGAACUGCCAUAAUAGGUUGCAUGGCUACACUGAUAAGCUCCAUGGAGGCAUUUGUAUGUGGCAGAGAGAAUCCCCUGGUCACCUAUAGAGACCUGCCGAGAUGAAGGAUGUUACGUGACACAUGUCUUUCAAAGCUUGACUUUGAAGACCUUGAAAUGCAUUUGUUGAAAGAAAUGUGCUAUAUAAAUAAAGUUUGAUUUGAUUGAUGACACUACAGCUGUAGAAUAUUAAUAAACUGUCAUUUUCAUGAGGACAAGUGCAGUUUUUCCAUAAAGUCCCAAGUUAUCAAUUAAAAGUUUAUCACUUGACAUAUAGCUGUGUUCAAAUACCCAUACCCAUUUCAUAAAAGGAUCCUAUAAAUCAAGACUGAAUGUACCACUCCAAAUAAAUACUGUGCCUUUGAAGAUUUGUCUUUGGCCAUGCAUCUACAAUACAG
ensembl:lncRNA